rnacentral:rRNA from 1 species
UACGUAGGUGGCAAGCGUUGUCCGGAAUUAUUGGGCGUAAAGCGCGCGCAGGCGGUCUCUUAAGUCUGAUGUGAAAGCCCACGGCUCAACCGUGGAGGGUCAUUGGAAACUGGGGGACUUGAGUACAGAAGAGGAAAGCGGAAUUCCACGUGUAGCGGUGAAAUGCGCAGAUAUCAGGAAGAACACCCGUGGCGAAGGCGGCUCUCUGGAACGCAACUGACGCUGAGACGCGAAAGCGUGGGGAGCAAACAGG